rnacentral:rRNA from 1 species
GAGGAUGCGAGCGUUAUCCGGAUUUAUUGGGUUUAAAGGGUGCGUAGGCUGACCGUCAAGUCAGCGGUAAAAUAGGGAGGCUCAACCUCUUUGUGCCGUUGAAACUGGCGGUCUAGAGUGAGCGAGAAGUAUGCGGAAUGCGAGGUGUAGCGGUGAAAUGCAUAGAUAUCACGCAGAACUCCGACUGCGAAGGCAGCAUACCGGCGCUCAACUGACGCUGAGGCACGAAAGCGUGGGGAUC